AUGGUGUUUUCUCACAUGCUUUGCAACCCUGUCACUUCCUGUUUGAGUCUGUGGACAGCUGCAAUAGCUGUCUCAGAAAACAAAACUAAAGAUAGCCCUUUUCUCCCUGGAGAGGUGAUACCCAGGAUCUGCUCAGCUGAGAAGAACUUUGGAAAGGCAGUCUUGUGGUUCCGUAUGUCUACAAAGAAGACUGAGACAUCUCCAAAGGACAGCUUAUCCCUUUUUAAGACCAGUGACUAAGACUGCUGGGAAGAAUUACCCACUGGAGGUAGACUGUACUGAGGAAAGUGUAUUAAUAGGUGACAGAACGUAUGUCACACAAUAUCUAAGAAAGCCUCUGUCUAGAAGACUACAACCUAAUAAAGAGUGUCUGGAAGCAAUAAUAAGUACA
rnacentral:lncRNA from 1 species